rnacentral:rRNA from 1 species
CUACGGGCCGCUGCAGUGAGGAAUAUUGCACAAUGGGGGGAACCCUGAUGCAGCAACGCCGCGUGGAGGAUGACGCAUUUCGGUGUGUAAACUCCUUUUAUAUGUCAAGAAGAUGACGGUAGCAUAUGAAUAAGCACCGGCUAACUCCGUGCCAGCAGCCGCGGUAAUACGGAGGGUGCAAGCGUUACUCGGAAUCACUGGGCGUAAAGGACGCGUAGGCGGGUUGGAAAGUCAGGUGUGAAAUCCUACAGCUUAACUGUAGAACUGCACUUGAAACUUCUAAUCUAGAGUAUGGGAGGGGGAGAUGGAAUUAGUGGUGUAGGGGUAAAAUCCGUAGAUAUCACUAGGAAUACCUAAAGCGAAGGCGAUCUCCUGGAACAUUACUGACGCUAAGGCGUGAAAGCGCGGGGAGCAAACAGGAUUAGAUACCCUUGUAGUC